CAGCAGCCGCGGGAACACGUAGGGUGCAAGCGUUAGUCGGAAUUACUGGGCGUAAAGCGUGCGCAGGCGGUUUUGUAAGACAGAGGUGAAAUCCCCGGGCUCAACCUGGGAACUGCCUUUGUGACUGCAAGGCUGGAGUGCGGCAGAGGGGGAUGGAAUUCCGCGUGUAGCAGUGAAAUGCGUAGAUAUGCGGAGGAACACCGAUGGCGAAGGCAGUCCCCUGGGCCUGCACUAACGCUCAUGCACGAAAGCGUGGGGAGCAAACAGGAUUAGAUACCCCAGUAGUCCCUGUCUCUUAUAC
rnacentral:rRNA from 1 species